rnacentral:rRNA from 1 species
GAUGAACGCUGGCAGCGUGCCUAAUACAAGGCAGUCGAGCGAAGCGGGGAAGGGUGAGUAACACGUGGAUAACCUACUAUAAGACUGGGAUAACUUCGGGAAACCGGGGCUAAACCGGAUACUUAUAGUUGGAAACGCGCUUCAUUAGCUAGUUGGUAAGGUAACGGUUUCACAAGUAAACGAUGCAUAGCCGACCGGAGAGGGUGAUCGGCCACACGGGACCUGCGACACGGUCCAGACUCCUACGGGAGGCAGCAGUAGGGAAUCUUACGCAAUGGGCGAAAGCCUGACGGAGUAACGCCGCGUGAGUGAUGAAGGUCUUCGGAUCGUAAAACUCUGUUAUUAGGGAAGCGGUACCUAAUCAGAAAGCCACGGCUAACUACGUGCCAGCAGCCGCGGUAAUUC